rnacentral:tRNA from 1 species
GAGUGUGCAGCUCAGUGGCAGAGUGCCUGCCUAGCGCGCAUGAGGUUCUGGGCUCAAUUCCCAGUGUACCUC